rnacentral:rRNA from 1 species
GAUGAACGCUGGCGGCGUGCUUAACACAUGCAAGUCGAACGGAAAGGCCCUGCUUUUGUGGGGUGCUCGAGUGGCGAACGGGUGAGUAACACGUGAGUAACCUGCCCUUGACUUUGGGAUAACUUCAGGAAACUGGGGCUAAUACCGGAUAGGAGCUCCUGCUGCAUGGUGGGGGUUGGAAAGUUUCGGCGGUUGGGGAUGGACUCGCGGCUUAUCCGCUUGUUGGUGGGGUAGUGGCUUACCAAGGCUUUGACGGGUAGCCGGCCUGAGAGGGUGACCGGGCACAUUGGGACUGAGAGACGGCCCAGACUCCUACGGGAGGCAGCAGGGGGGAAUAUUGCACAAUGGGCGGAAGCCUGAUGCAGCAACGCCGCGUGCGGGAUGACGGCCUUCGGGUUGUAAACCGCUUUCGCCUGUGACGAAGCGGGAGUGACGGUAAUGGGUAAAGAAGCACCGGCUAACUACGUG